rnacentral:rRNA from 1 species
UGUGCCUACGGGACGCAGCAGUGGGGAAUAUUGGGCAAUGGGCGCAAGCCUGACCCAGCAACGCCGCGUGAAGGAAGAAGGCUUUCGGGUUGUAAACUUCUUUUCUGAGGGACGAAGAAAGUGACGGUACCUCAGGAAUAAGCCACGGCUAACUACGUGCCAGCAGCCGCGGUAAUACGUAGGUGGCAAGCGUUAUCCGGAUUUAUUGGGUGUAAAGGGCGUGUAGGCGGGAAAGCAAGUCAGAUGUGAAAACUCAGG